rnacentral:lncRNA from 1 species
CUGCAUUUGUGAUUUGGUCCUUCAGACAAGAGAUUCGAUUCGGAACUAUUAUAUGUCCAAGGUCCAAUAUUGAAAUAAUUUCAGAGGUUUUCCCUGACUUUGUCAGAUUACGUGAUUUGGGGCACCCACUUCCUAGAUUUUCAGGCCAAAAACAUGGGUGGUUGUUCCUUCUUCACCCACUACCUACAAAUGGCAUAAAAAACAAGCAAAAUGGUAGAAAUGAAGAAGGAACACAAAAAAAAGAGAGAGGAUUCUCCCAUUUGAAAAAAAAAGAGCAAAAAAAUUCCAGCAAAAAAAAAUCCAAAAAAAAACAUUAGCAAUCAAAAGAAAAAACGCAGAAAGGUGGAUCUUCGAUUUCAUUUUAUUUGUUUUCAUUUCGUUUUAACUUCUUCUUAGUUUCCUUUCAAAUUUACUGCAAAUCAAUAAACAAAAAGGGGGUUUUGUUUUCAAAUACAAAAAAGGGGGUUGUAUUACACAGAUUAUUAUAAAAAAGAGAACAAAAAAGGUUGUUUUCAUAUUUUCUUUCCUUGGUUUUUUUUUCUUUCUUUAGAUUUUUUUUAUUUUAUUUUUUGUGUUAAAUCUUUUAAAAAAACAAAAAAAAAACAAAAAAGGGCCUGAAAACUUACCUAUUCUUCGCGUCCCGCCCCCAUCGGAGAUUCCCUGAUCCAAAAGGGCCACGAAACCCCUCAGGUUUCUCGUUUAGGCUAUGGAAAAGAAGAGGGGGAUGAGUACUCGGAGGGCGAAAUAGGAGCUUUCUCACUUGAACUUGGUGAGAGAGAGGUUUGUUUCAGAGAAAUGAAA